CCAGACUCCUACGGGAGGCAGCAGUGGGGAAUAUUGCACAAUGGGGGAAACCCUGAUGCAGCAACGCCGCGUGAGUGAAGAAGUAUUUCGGUAUGUAAAGCUCUAUCAGCAGGGAAGAGAAUGACGGUACCUGACUAAGAAGCCCCGGCUAACUACGUGCCAGCAGCCGCGGUAAUACGUAGGGGGCGAGCGUUAUCCGGAUUUACUGGGUGUAAAGGGAGCGUAGACGGCCAUGCAAGCCUGGAGUGAAAGCCCGGGGCCCAACCCCGGGACUGCUCUGGGAACUGUGCGGCUGGAGUGCGGGAGGGGCAGGCGGAAUUCCUGGUGUAGCGGUGAAAUGCGUAGAUAUCAGGAGGAACACCGGCGGCGAAGGCGGCCUGCUGGACCGCGACUGACGUUGAGGCUCGAAAGCGUGGGGAGCAAACAGGAUUAGAUACCCCCGUAGUC
rnacentral:rRNA from 1 species